rnacentral:rRNA from 1 species
GACGAACGCUGGCGGCGUGCUUAACACAUGCCAGUCGAACGGAAAGGCCCUGCUUUUGUGGGGUGCUCGAGUGGCGAACGGGUGAGUAACACGUGAGUAACCUGCCCUUGACUUUGGGAUAACUUCAGGAAACUGGGGCUAAUACCGGAUAGGAGCUCCUGCUGCAUGGUGGGGGUUGGAAAGUUUCGGCGGUUGGGGAUGGUCUCGCGGCUUAUCAGCUUGUUGGUGGGGUAGUGGCUUACCAAGGCUUUGACGGGUAGCCGGCCUGAGAGGGUGACCGGCCACAUUGGGACUGAGAUAGGGCCCAGACUCCUACGGGAGGCAGCAGUGGGGAAUAUUGCACAAUGGGCGGAAGCCUGAUGCAGCAACGCCGCGUGCGGGAUGACGGCCUUCGGGUUGUAAACCGCUUUCGCCUGUGACGAAGCGUGAGUGACGGUAAUGGGUAAAGAAGCACCGGCUAACUACGUG